rnacentral:tRNA from 1 species
GGAGACGUGGCUGAGUGGUCGAAAGCGCCUCACUGCUAACGAGGUAUCCUUUAACCGGGAUCAUGGGUUCGAAUCCCAUCGUCUCCG